rnacentral:rRNA from 1 species
GAUGAACGCUGGCGGCGUGCUUAACACAUGCAAGUCGAACGGAACUACUCCAAUGAGAGUCUUCGGAAAGGAUUUGGUUUAGUUUAGUGGCGGACGGGUGAGUAACGCGUGGGUAACCUGCCCUAUACAGGGGGAUAACAGUUGGAAACGACUGUUAAUACCGCAUAAGCGCACAGGAGCGCAUGCUCCGGUGUGAAAAACUCCGGUGGUAUAGGAUGGACCCGCGUCUGAUUAGCUGGUUGGCGGGGUAACGGCCCACCAAGGCGACGAUCAGUAGCCGGCCUGAGAGGGUGAACGGCCACAUUGGGACUGAGACACGGCCCAAACUCCUACGGGAGGCAGCAGUGGGGAAUAUUGCACAAUGGGGGAAACCCUGAUGCAGCGACGCCGCGUGAGCGAAGAAGUAUCUCGGUAUGUAAAGCUCUAUCAGCAGGGAAGAAAAUGACGGUACCUGACGAAGAAGCCCCGGCUAACUACGUC